rnacentral:rRNA from 1 species
CCUACGGGCGGCAGCAGUGGGGAAUAUUGCGCAAUGGGCGAAAGCCUGACGCAGCGACGCCGCGUGAGGGAUGAAGGUCUUCGGAUCGUAAACCUCUGUCAGCAGGGAAGAACGGUCACUGUGCUAAUCAGCAGUGAAUUGACGGUACCUGCAAAGGAAGCACCGGCUAACUCCGUGCCAGCAGCCGCGGUAAUACGGAGGGUGCGAGCGUUAAUCGGAAUUACUGGCAGUAAAGCAUUCGUAGGCGGUAUGUCAAGUCAAGGGUGAAAUCCCCGCGCUCAACGUGGGAACUGCCUUUGAAACUGGCAAGCUGGAGUGUGUGAGGGGAUAGUGGAAUUCCAGGUGUAGGAGUGAAAUCCGUAGAUAUCUGGAGGAACAUCAGUGGCGAAGGCGACUAUCUGGCACAUAACUGACGCUGAGGAGCGAAAGCGUGGGUAGCAAACAGGAUUAGAUACCCGAGUAGUC